ensembl:lncRNA
AGCAGACUCGUGGAAAUAUUAGUUGAUUGGUUGGUCAGUUUUUUGUUGUUUUUUUGCUUUAUCUUCAUCUCCAGAGGACUAAUGGUGGAAAAUAGCCCCCCCCCCCCCCCCCCCCCCACCACCCCCACCCCGCCGCAUUGUCAUCAUUACACUGACUUUGGUGGUUUUAAGUCUCUUAACAACCAUCAGUUUGUCAUAAAGUUUUGCUGCAGACUUUUCAGCUUGACUCUGGACUGUAGUCUUGUUAAAUGUUGCACACACCACCCAUUUGGCACCCACACCAGUCAAAACAAGCCAUGCAAUGCCUGAAAAUCCAGUUCGACUGAAGCUAAGUGUCUAUAGAUUUUAACUCUGAUGAUCAAUGCUAAGUGAUGACUGAUUAUAAUACUAUAAACCUUUGCAGAAUUGAUUGCACCAAGAAGAAGCACUAAAAGGACCGUCUGUAAUGAAGUACUGCAGCUUGAGAGCACUUUGAGAUGAUUUAGGCUAUUUAAUGGGCCUCAAGCACUAAACGCUUCCAGUCAAUUAUAUUAUUGGGCAACGAGUCUGAUAAAAAUAAGUAAACCCUGUGUGGAUCGCACUGUAAAACUUGGACAAUAUGCGUCACUGCAACCCCCCCUGGCUUCUGCUCCGCGGCUGCUGAGUGAGCCCUCAUCUGGGACUCUCCUCAGCUCUUUCUGGGACAGUGGCGCAGCUGCCCCUCUGUGGGUCUUCCUUGGUCUCUUGUGUUCUGGGGGCCUCUGGAUGUCUGGAGUCUUGAUCUCCUCCAUACCUGCUUCAUGCCCUGGAGGACGGGGCUGUGGCCCCCCCACACCCUCUAGCAGAUCAUUACAUGGAGGAACCUUUUAAAAAAACAAGCGCGUCCAUGCUCACAGGUGUACACACGGGUGAUCACACCCACAAACUACACCCUUUUUGGCUCCUACCUCAAAGCACACUGUGUUCUGUUGAUCUUAUGUGCUGCACAAUAAUGUUUAAUAUGUAGUAUUUACUGUCAUAUUCCCAUAUAUCAUUGUGAUGUUGUUUAUUCUAUUACUCUUGUUCUCUUCUGCUUGUUUUCUUUUUUCUUUCUCAGCAGGUGAUCCAGGUGAUCGAUAUAUGCAUUUUUUUUCUCUGCCCGUUCUGUUGGUUUUUGUCUUUUGCCCUUCUCCCCCGUCCCUCUUCUCAGCUGUUUCUCUUUCCCUCUUUCUUUCUCCCCUUCUUUCCCCCAGUCAAGUCUGUCCCGUAUUCAGUAAGUGAAAAUAAAAUAAACAAUAAAAGGUGAAUCAAAUGGACCAUUACGGCAAGGCUGGGAUGGUCAGUUUGGUAAAGUAAAUCCGUUGGGCAUCUUUCUUUGCCUUUAGACAACAAUUCUGAUGCAAAAGAGCCAAACGGGACAGGCCAAAAAAAAAAAAAAAUUGGACAAUAUGAAUUAAGUAUAGAUUUAGGCAGUUAAUAAUAAUCAUUAAAUGCAGGUAUAAGAGCGAACUAUUCAAACCCACUCUCUAGAUUUCGGUCCAUAUAGAUGUAAAUUCCUUUCUUUCCAAAGUAAACACUCGAUACUGCGUAUCAUAGACGUAGUUCUUGUUCUCCCCAAAAGCCCUGUUUAUGUGUCAGGUCUCCCUCUAAUUUACAACAAUCAACAUGCUUGAAACGAAAGCCUAUUGUUUACUCUUAGCAACCACAAACCCACAGCCAUUUUUAUUUUUCCACAAGCCGGAUGUACUGUUUUACUGCAUUAACAUCCUUUCAAGCUUUAAAACCUCACACGGCGGUCUGAAUGUAUUGCCCUGUGCAGAAGCAGAACAGGUACAUGUAUAGCCUGGUUGUAAAUGACAUCCAGUUUCGUUUCAGUUGUUGAGAUAUGGGUUGACUCGGGUCAUGUGGUUUGCAUGUACAUGAUGCUGCAUGGCAGCGCACAUUGUAUGACCAAAGCAGAGGCCUCUGCAGAUCUGUAAUUCCUGCUGAUUGGCACGCUGGUUCAACCUUCUGAAAAACCUGAACUGUUAACUGCGUUGUGUGGCCGUCUUUUUCUACAGCUGUGCUGUAAUUAUGCCUUCUUGAAAAGCCAAUUAAAUUUCACAUAUGUUC